AAGGGUAUAGCUCAGUGCUAGAGUGUGUGCUUAGCAUACACGAGGUCCUGGGUUCAAUCCCUAGUACCUCCA
rnacentral:tRNA from 1 species